UACGGGGGGGGCAAGCGUUGUUCGGAAUUACUGGGCGUAAAGGGUGCGUAGGCGGGUUUUUAAGUCAGGGGUGAAAUCCUGGAGCUCAACUCCAGAACUGCCUUUGAUACUGAAGAUCUUGAGUCCGGGAGAGGUGAGUGGAACUGCGAGUGUAGAGGUGAAAUUCGUAGAUAUUCGCAAGAACACCAGUGGCGAAGGCGGCUCACUGGCCCGGUACUGACGCUGAGGCACGAAAGCGUGGGGAGCAAACAGG
rnacentral:rRNA from 1 species